UUUAGCAUGGAAUAAUGAAAUAGGACGUGUGGUUCUAUUUUGUUGGUUUCUAGGACCGCCGUAAUGAUUAAUAGGGAUAGUCGGGGGCGUCAGUAUUCAGCUGUCAGAGGUGAAAUUCUUGGAUUUGCUGAAGACUAACUACUGCGAAAGCAUUCGCCAAGGAUGUUCUCAUUAAUUAGGGAACGAAAGUUAGGGGAUCGAAGACGAUCGGAUACCGUCGUAGUCUUAACCAUAAACUAUGCCGACUAGGGAUCGGACGGGAUUCUAUAAUGACCCGUUCGGCACCUUACGAGAAAUCAAAGUUUUUGGGUUCUGGGGGGAGUAUGGUCGCAAGGCUGAAACUUAAAGAAAUUGACGGGAGGGCACCACAAGGCGUGGAGCCUGCGGCUUAAUUUGACUCAACGCGGGGAAACUCACCAGGUCCAGACAAAAUAAGGAUUGACAGAUUGAGAGCUCUUUCUUGAUCUUUUGGAUGGUGGUGCAUGGCCGUUCUUAGUUGGUGGAGUGAUUUGUCUGCUUAAUUGCGAUAGCGAACGAGACCUCGGCCCUUAAAUAGCCCGGUCCGCAUUUGCGGGCCGCUGGCUUCUUAAGGGGACUAUCGGCUCAAGCCGAUGGAAGUGCGCGGCAAUAACAGGUCUGUGAUGCCCUUAGAUGUUCUGGGCCGCACGCGCG
rnacentral:rRNA from 1 species